GACGAACGCUGGCGGCGUGCUUAACACAUGCAAGUCGAACGGAAAGGCCCUGCUUUUGUGGGGUGCUCGAGUGGCGAACGGGUGAGUAACACGUGAGUAACCUCCCCUUGACUUUGGGAUAACUUCAGGAAACUGGGGCUAAUACCGGAUAGGAGCUCCUGCUGCAUGGGGGGGGUUGGAAAGUUUCGGCGGUUGGGGCUGGACUCGCAGCUUAUCAGCUUGUUGGUGGGGUAGUGGCUGACCAAGGCUGUGACGGGUAGCCGGCCUGGGAGGGUGAACGGGGACAUGGGGACUGCGAGAGGGAGCAGAAGGCUACGGGAGGCAGUGGUGGGAAGUAUUACACAGCGGCGGGAAGCGAGUGGCGACAGUGCCGCGAGCGGGAUAACGUCUUACGGGUGAAAAACCGCUUUGGAAGUAGCCGAAGCCGGAGUGACGGUACCGGGUAAAGAAGCACCGGCUAACUACGUG
rnacentral:rRNA from 1 species